UAGCAUCAAAUUUGAAAUCUAGCACUUUCAGUGUUCGAGUUGUAAUUUGAAGAAGGUAUCUUUGGAGUUGGCCCCCGUCUAUGUUCCUUGGAACAGGACGUCACAGAGGGUGAGAAUCCCGUGCGAUGGGGAGACCAAUUCUAUGUAAAGUUCCUUCGAAGAGUCGAGUUGUUUGGGAAUGCAGCUCUAAGUGGGUGGUAAAUUCCAUCUAAAGCUAAAUAUUGGCGAGAGACCGAUAGCGAACAAGUACAGUGAUGGAAAGAUGAAAAGAACUUUGAAAAGAGAGUGAAAAAGUACGUGAAAUUGUUGAAAGGGAAGGGCUUUUGAUCAGACUUGGUGUUUAGUACUCUCUACUCCUUGUGGGUGGGGCUCUUGCUUUAUACUGGGCCAGCAUCGGUUUGGAUGGUAGGAUAAUAGCAUUGGAAUGUGGCUUCAUUCGUGAAGUGUUAUAGCCCUUGUUGAUACUACCUAUCUAGACCGAGGACUGCGUCUUUUGACUAGGAUGCUGGCGUAAUGAUUAAAAGCC
rnacentral:rRNA from 1 species